AUGCCGCUGAGGGCAGUUCCUGAAGGCAUGCCGAAUGUCAUUUUCACAGCAUUAGUCAGAGUAGGCCGCGUUGGGGUGAGGCCCUCACUUCAUACGGCGACUAGCACCAAGCCGGUGCAGCAUGGCUUCCGUGUCCUCAUCCUGCACGACGAUGAGGUCACCGUGAUGGAGGAGAAGAUCAAUGCUCUCAUUAAAGCAGCUGGCGUCAAUGUUGGACCUUUUUGGCCUGGCUUGUUUGCAAAGGCCCUGGCCAAUGUCAACACUGGGAGCCUCAUCUGCAAUGUAGGGGCUGGUGGACCUGCUCCAGAAGCUGCUGCCGCUCCAGCAGGUGGUCCUGUCCCCUCUGCUGCCGCUGCCCUGGCUGAGGAGAAGAAAGUGGACGCAAAGAAAGAAGAAUCAGAGGAGGCUGAUGAUGACACGGGCUUCGGUCUUUUUGACUAAACCUUUUAACAUACUCAAUAAAAAGCUGGACCUUUU